rnacentral:pre_miRNA from 1 species
UGAGGUAGUAGGUUGUAUAGUAGUAUUAACGGCAUGCUAUACAACGUGCUAGCUUUCU